CGGAUCGGAGUCUGNAACCCGACUCCGUGAAGCUGGAUUCGCUAGUAAUCGCGCAUCAGCCAUGGCGCGGUGAAUACGUUCCCGGGCCUUGUACACACCGCCCGUCAAGCCAUGGGAGCCGGGGGUGCUUGAAGUGCGUCGCCGCAAGGCGCGCUCUAGAGCAAAACCGGUGACUGGGGCUAAGUCGUAACAAGGUAUC
rnacentral:rRNA from 1 species